rnacentral:rRNA from 1 species
AACGAACGCUGGCGGCAGGCUUAACACAUGCAAGUCGAACGGUCCGCAAGGAUAGUGGCAAACGGGUGAGUAAUACAUGGGAAUGUACCUUUUAGUUCGGGAUAACAGCGGGAAACUGCUGCUAAUACCGGAUGCGCUCUACGGAGGAAAGAUUUAUCGCUGAAAGAUCAGCCCAUGCCAGAUUAGCUAGUUGGUGAGGUAAUGGCUCACCAAGGCAGUGAUCUGUAGCGGGUCUGAGAGGAUGAUCCGCCACACUGGGACUGCGAUACGGCCCAGACUCCUACGGGAGGCAGCAGUGAGGAAUAUUGGACAAUGGAGGCAACUCUGAUCCAGCCAUGCCGCGUGAAUGAUGAAGGCCUUAGGGUUGUAAAGUUCUUUAAGUGGGGAAGAUAAUGACGGUACCCACAGAAUAAGCACCGGCUAACUUCGUGCCAGCAGCCGCCGCCG